UACGGGGGGGGCAAGCGUUGUUCGGAAUUACUGGGCGUAAAGGGCUCGUAGGUGGCCAACUAAGUCAGACGUGAAAUCCCUCGGCUUAACCGGGGAACUGCGUCUGAUACUGGAUGGCUUGAGUUUGGGAGAGGGAUGCGGAAUUCCAGGUGUAGCGGUGAAAUGCGUAGAUAUCUGGAGGAACACCGGUGGCGAAGGCGGCGACCUGGGCAGAUACUGACGCUGAGGUGCGAAAGCGUGGGGAGCAAACAGG
rnacentral:rRNA from 1 species